GACGGGGGGGGCAAGUGUUCUUCGGAAUGACUGGGCGUAAAGGGCACGUAGGCGGUGAAUCGGGUUGAAAGUGAAAGUCGCCAAAAAAGUGGCGGAAUGCUCUCGAAACCAAUUCACUUGAGUGAGACAGAGGAGAGUGGAAUUUCGUGUGUAGGGGUGAAAUCCGUAAUAUACGAAGGAACGGCCGAAAAGCGAACGGAAGCAGCUACG
rnacentral:rRNA from 1 species